CACACUCACUCCCAUUCACUGACACACACACAUACACACACACUCACUGGUACACACACACACACACUUACUUUCACUGACACACACACACACUCACUCAAUUCACUGACACACACACUCAUUCACUGACACACACAUACACUCACUCACUCACUCACAUUUACUGACACACACACAUUCACUCACUCACAUUCACUGACACACACACUCACUCACUCACACACACACAUUCUCCCCCAACACUCACAAUUAUUAUUUUUUUUUAAAUUUAAAUCCACCCAGCCUCCCUACUCCCCUGAAUUCUCCCCCACAGUCCUACAAUGUGUCACUGCUUGCCUUUCUUCAAUGAUUGAUU